UACGUAGGGGGCAAGCGUUGUCCGGAUUUAUUGGGCGUAAAGAGCGUGUAGGCGGCCAGGUAGGUCCGUUGUGAAAACUCGAGGCUCAACCUCGAGACGUCGAUGGAAACCAUCUGGCUAGAGUCCGGAAGAGGAGAGUGGAAUUCCUGGUGUAGCGGUGAAAUGCGCAGAUAUCAGGAAGAACACCCGUGGCGAAGGCGGCCACCUGGACGGUAACUGACGCUGAGACGCGAAAGCGUGGGGAGCAAACAGG
rnacentral:rRNA from 1 species